CAAUGUAUGGUGUGGCGGUUAAGAAGCUCGUAUUUGGAUCUCGGCGGGCGGGGGGCGGGGCGCCGAAAGGCUGCACUGCCCAAUUCUUUCGUCCAGCGUAUGUGUUUGUCGGAGGCCCGCGGGUGCACUUCACCGAGUGUCCGCGUUCGGCGCCGGAAGGUUUACUUUGAAAAAAUUAAAGUGCUCCAAGCAGGCUUUGUACGCCUGGAUAGUCGUGCAUGGAAGAAUGGAAUAGGACGUCGUUUCUAUUUUGUUGGUUUUCGGAAAUCGACGUAAUGAUUAGUAGGGACAGUCGGGGGCAUUGGUAUUCAGGCGACAGAGGUGAAAUUCUUGGACCGUCUGAAGACCCACUACUGCGAAAGCAUUUGCCAAGAAUGUUUUCAUUAAUCAAGAACGAAAGUUAGAGGUUCGAAGGCGAUCAGAUACCGCCCUAGUUCUAACCAUAAACGAUGCCAGCUAGCGAUCCGCAGCUGUUUUUCAUGUAGGCUCUGCGGGAAGCUUCCGGGAAACCAAAGCUUUUGGGUUCCGGGGGAAGUAUGGUUGCAAAGCUGAAACUUAAAGGAAUUGACGGAAGGGCACCACCAGGAGUGGAGCCUGCGGCUUAAUUUGACUCAACACGGGGAAUCUCACCCGGCCCGGACACCGUGAGGAUUGACAGAUUGAGAGCUCUUUCUUGAUUCGGUGGGUGGUGGUGCAUGGCCGUUCUUAGUUGGUGGAGCGAUUUGUCUGGUUAAUUCCGAUAACGAACGAGACUCUGGCCUGCUAAAUAGUCCUCCCCCCGCCAAUGGAGGGGAGCCAGACUUCUUAGAGGGAAAAUCAAGGUCUACUUGAACGAGUUGGAGCAAUAACAGGUCUGUGAUGCCCUUAGAUGUUCGGGGCCGCACGCGCGCUACACUGAAAGAGGCAGAGGGUCGAGUCCUGGUCUGGCAAGGCUGGGCAACCCGUGCACAAACUCUAUCGUGCUAGGGACUGGGGCUUGCAAUUUUUCCCCAUCAACGAGGAAUUCCCAGUAAGCGCGAGUCAUCAGCUCGUGUUGAUUACGUCCCUGCCCUUUGUACACACCGCCCGUCGCUACUACCGAUUGAAUGGUUUAGUGAGGCCCUCGGACGGGCCCCGGGCCGGCCCUCGUGGCCGGCCGUCUGGUGCUGCCUGAAAGACGGUCGAACUUGAUCAUUUAGAGGAAGUAAAAKUCKWAMCARGGUUUCCKUA
rnacentral:rRNA from 1 species